AUAAGCAAACAGUCUUUCAAAUUUUGGCUGCAUGGAGUGUAAUGGAGUGACUGUGGUCUCCCUGUGAAGCUGCUAGAGCAGGGAGGGGCCGGAAGAGCGCUGCCUGGGACAGCUGUAGGCCAGGCCAGUUCACAUUUGGAAGCCAGCACUCCCAGACCUGCCCCUUGCUCUCUCCUCUGCCUCCUGGCUGGCUGUCUCCAGAAGGAAUCAGUAAGGUGCCCUGAGACCAGAUAUAUAAACAUAUAUAUAUAUUUUGAGAUGGAAUCUCGCUGUGUCACCCAGGCUGGAGUGCAGUGGUGGGAUCUUGGCACACUGCAACCUUUAACCCCUGGGUUCAAGUGAUUCUCUUGCCUCAGCCUCCCGAGUAGCUGGAAUUACAGGCGCCU
rnacentral:lncRNA from 1 species